rnacentral:misc_RNA from 1 species
GAUGAAGAACGUAGCGAAAUGCGAUAAGUAGUGUGAAUUGCAGAAUUCAGUGAAUCAUCGAGUCUUUGAACGCACAUUGCGCCCCCUGGUAUUCCGGGGGGCAUGCCUGUCCGAGCGUCAUUGCUACCCUCAAGCACGGCUUGUGUGUUGGGCCUCCGUCCUCCUCCCGGGGGACGGGCCCGAAAGGCAGCGGCGGCACCGCGUCCGGUCCUCGAGCGUAUGGGGCUUCGUCACCCGCUCUUGUAGGCCCGGCCGGCGCUUGCCGACACAUCAAUCUUUUUUCCAGGUUGACCUCGGAUCAGGUAGGGAUACCCGCUGAACUUAAGCAUAUCAAUAAGCGGAGGA